UCGGAGGUCGUCUAAUGGUAGGACUCUUGGUUCUGGUCCAAGGUAUCGGGGUUCGAGUCCCUGCCUCCGAGCCA
rnacentral:tRNA from 1 species